rnacentral:hammerhead_ribozyme from 1 species
AUCCAGCUGACAUGUCUUAAAUAGGACGAAACCCGCGUCAUACUAGAU